AACGAACGCUGGCGGUAUGCUUAACACAUGCAAGUCGAACGAAUUAUAAAAGCUUGCUUUUAUAAAUUAGUGGCAAACGGGUGAGUAAUGUAGAGGAAUCUACCUAGCAGUAAGGAAUAACUUUGGGAAACUAAAGCUAAUACCAUAUAUUACCGAUUUAUCGGGAAAGAUUUAUCGCUGUUAGAUGAGCCUCUAUCAGAUUAGCUUGUUGGUGGGGUAAUGGCCUACCAAGGCAAUGAUCUGUAGCUGGUCUGGGAGGAUGAUCAGCCACACUGGGACUGAGACACGGCCCAG
rnacentral:rRNA from 1 species